CGUCAAGUCAUCAUGGCCCUUACGCCUGGGGCAACACACGUACUACAAUGGCGCGCACAAAGGGCAGCAAUGCCGCGAGGUGGAGCCAAUCCCAAAAAACGCGUCUCAGUCCGGACUGCAGUCUGCAACUCGACUGCACGAAGUCGGAAUCGCUAGUAAUUCGAGAUCAGCAUGCUCGGGUGAAUGCGUUCCCGGGCCUU
rnacentral:rRNA from 1 species